UACAGAGACUGCAAGCGUUAUUCGGAUUCACUGGGCGUAAAGGGUGCGCAGGCGGCCGAGUGUGUGAGGCGUGAAAGCCCGGGGCUUAACCCCGGAAUUGCACCUCAAACUACACGGCUAGAGCAUUGGAGAGGGUAGCAGAAUUCAUGGUGUAGCAGUGAAAUGCGUAGAUAUCAUGAGGAAUACCAGAGGCGAAGGCGGCUACUUGGACAAUUGCUGACGCUCAGGCACGAAAGCGUGGGGAGCAAAAGGG
rnacentral:rRNA from 1 species